rnacentral:rRNA from 1 species
GACGAACGCUGGCGGCGUGCUUAACACAUGCAAGUCGAACGGAAAGGCCCUGCUUUUGUGGGGUGCUCGAGUGGCGAACGGGUGAGUAACACGUGAGUAACCUGCCCUUGACUUUGGGAUAACUUCAGGAAACUGGGGCUAAUACCGGAUAGGAGCUCCCGCUGCAUGGUGGGGGUUGGAAAGUUUCGGCGGUUGGGGAUGGACUCGCGGCUUAUCAGCUUGUUGGUGGGGUAGUGGCUUACCAAGGGUUUGACGGGUAGCCGGCCUGGGAGGGUGACCGGCCACAUUGGGACUAAGAUACGGCCCAGACGCCUACGGGAGGCAGCAGUGGGGAAUAUUGCGCAAUGGGCGGAAGCCUGAGGCAGCAACGCCGCGUGCGGGAUGACGGCCUUCGGGUUGUAAACCGCCUUCGCCUGUGACGAAGCGUGAGUGACGGUAAUGGGUAAAGAAGCACCGGCUAACUACGUG